rnacentral:lncRNA from 1 species
CCCGUGAGAAGUAUUCUUGGAAUUUCAAGUCUGUCCUAACCAAGAAGCCUUAGAAGUGUCAGGCAUCAGCCUGCUCUUGCAAAAAUUCCCAGUCAGUCUAAAGAGCAUGAAGCUUUAUAACUGUGGAGAGAUCUACAACAGGUUCUAUCCUACCACACUAUUUGUGAAAUUUUAUUGCUACUGGAGUUGCAAAAGGAAUAUGCUUUGGCUGAGCUUUAAGAUUGUCUGUGGCUGAUGCCGUAUCUGCAGGACGGAAGGAACCAUCUCUGCUUGGAAAGCCACCAGGAGGAGGCCUGGCCUUCCCAGGAGAGCACCACGAGCAGCAAAGAGGCUCUUGCAACCAUUGGAUACCUCUUUCUGCUCCAAAGAUGAGAUUAAUGCCCAAUUCUGUGACCAUUUUUCCUCUUCCUCCUGUUUGCUCCACUGCAAAGUCAGACAGCUUAGUAUGAACUCCCUUCAAAGAAGCAUCGUUUUAGCUGCUGAAUCAGCUGCAAACAAGAAGGUUGUGGUGCAUCCAGCUGAUACUGGUGAGAUCUUAGGUACAGUUGUCAGCAAAAUCACCUGUUCAAUAACUUGCAUGAGAAAAGAAAAUAAACGAUAGUGGGAACUGCACGCUUUCUUCUGCAUUGGUCUUCACUUCAGUGAAUCAGAGGGCAGCAGGAGCACUGCAAGAUAAAUUUACAUUUCAUAGUGGGAAACAAACCAUCCCACAAAGAUAUGAUAAAUCAUCAGAGGAACAACGAGGUGCCAUGACACAUGCAUAUGUUUUUCUACAGUCACAUGAAAUGAAGAUAUGAGGCACACAACCCAAUCUCCAUCUCAAAGGUUUGUUAACCAUAGUCAAGCCUGACUGCAUAAAGAGCAGUCUCACUGAAAUUUCAAGUGUGGAUUUUUUUUUUUCCAACAGUAAUUCCCCAAUUCUUUUUUUUUACUAAUGUUUCUUGGACAAUCCACUAACCUAGUUUUCAAAUCAUGAGAAUUCUUAAGACUUUGUUAUAUAGGUACAAGGGUAACAUAGACUUACUUCCAGUGAUAUUUUGAUUACAGAGAGGAAAAAAGGCUGCCAUUCCAGCAAAACAAGUUCUGUAAGAGGAUUAUUUGUUCUGGUUCAACAUCACUGACUUGUGUGAGCAUAGAACAGAUAGAAGUUUGGACAAAUAAGUUUGUGGAAACAAAUGAAAAAUUUCCAUAGAAAUAUUAUUUUGACAAAGAAGUAGUUUCUAUAAAAGCAAAUGAACAAAUUCCAUGUAAAAAAUGUUGAUUUCCUCUUUUUUUUUUUAAGGGUUUAUCUUUUUUCCCUUAGAAAACCAAACCAAUCCAUUUGACCCAAAUUAGAGUAUGGGGGAGGGGUGUUGAAAACUGAGCCAGAUUGUUUUAAAUCAACUGACUUGGCAUAAAACUACAUUUCCUACCAAUGCUUUUACUUUGCCAAUCAUAGCUUCAAUUCCCCAUCUCUUUUGGGCCAGCCUCCCUAGAAGACCAUAUAUCCUAUAAAGUAAUAAAUGGAUUUCACUGACACA